rnacentral:rRNA from 1 species
GAUGAACGCUGGCGGCAUGCUUAAUACAUGCAAGUCGGACGGGCGGUGGUGUUUCCUGUGUCUGACGGGUUAGUAACGCGUAGGAAACUGCCCUUUGGAGGGGAACAACAACUGGAAAGGGUUGCUAAUACCCCGUAGGCUGAGUAGCGGAAAGUGUAAUCCGCCCGAUGAGGGGCUUGCGUCUGAUUAGCUAGUUGGUGAUGUAAUAGCUUACCAAGGCGAUGAUCAGUAGCUGGUCCGAGAGGAUGAUCAGCCACACUGGGACUGAGACACGGCCCAGACUCUUACGGGAGGCAGCAGUGGGGAAUUUUCCGCAAUGGGCGAAAGCCUGACGGAGCAAUGGCGCGUGGAGGUAGAGGGCCCACGGGUCGUGAACUUCUUUUCUCGGAGAAGAAACAAUGACGGUACCUGAGGAAUAAGCAUCGGCUAACUCUGUG